UACGUAGGGUCCGAGCGUUGUCCGGAGUUACUGGGCGUAAAGCGCGCGCAGGUGGUCCAUUAAGCCCGGCGUGAAAGCCCCCCGGCUCAACCGGGGGAGGGUCGUCGGGGGACUGGUGGACUUGAGGGCGGCAGGGGGCUGGUGGAAUCCCCCGGUGUAGUGGUGAAAUGCGUAGAGAUCGGGGGGGGAACACCCCGUGGCGAAGGCGGCCAGCUGGGGCCGACCCCUGACACUGAGGCGCGAAGGCGUGGGGGAGCGAACGGG
rnacentral:rRNA from 1 species